UACGUAGGGUGCAAGCGUUGUCCGGAAUUAUUGGGCGUAAAGAGCUCGUAGGCGGUUUGUCGCGUCUGCUGUGAAAACUCGGGGCUUAACUCCGGGCCUGCAGUGGGUACGGGCAGACUAGAGUGCGGUAGGGGAGACUGGAAUUCCUGGUGUAGCGGUGAAAUGCGCAGAUAUCAGGAGGAACACCGGUGGCGAAGGCGGGUCUCUGGGCCGUAACUGACGCUGAGGAGCGAAAGCGUGGGGAGCGGACAGG
rnacentral:rRNA from 1 species